AUUAAAACUCAAAUGAAUUGACGGGGCCCGCACAAGCGGUGGAGCAUGUGGUUUAAUUCGAUGCAACGCGAAGAACCUUACCUACUCUUAGACAUCCAGAGAACUUUCCAGAGAUGGAUUGGUGCCUUCGGGAACUCUGAGACAGGUGCUGCAUGGCUGUCGUCAGCUCGUGUUGUGAAAUGUUGGGUUAAGUCCCGCAACGAGCGCAACCCUUAUCCUUGUUUGCCAGCGAGUAAUGUCGGGAACUCCAGGGAGACUGCCGGUGAUAAACCGGAGGCAAGGUGGGGACGACGUCAAGUCAUCAUGGCCCUUACGAGUAGGGCUACACACGUGCUACAAUGGCGCAUACAGAGGGCAGCCAACUUGCGAGAGUGAGCGAAUCCCAAAAAGUGCGUCGUAGUCCGGAUCGGAGUCUGCAACUCGACUCCAUGAAGUCGGAAUUCCGCUAGUAAUCGUGGAUCAGAAUGCCACGGUGAAUA
rnacentral:rRNA from 1 species